GAUGAACGCUAGCGGGAGGCUUAACACAUGCAAGUCGAGGGGCAUCACGAGGUAGCAAUACUUUGGUGGCGACCGGCGCACGGGUGAGUAACACGUAUGCAACCUUCCCUGUACAGGGGGAUAACCCGGAGAAAUUCGGACUAAUAUCCCGUAAUAAUAUCCGGAGGCAUCUUUGGAUAUUUAAAGCUCUGGCGGUACAGGAUGGGCAUGCGCGACAUUAGCUAGUUGGUAAGGUAACGGCUUACCAAGGCCACGAUGUUUAGGGGACCUGAGAGGGUUGUCCCCCACACUGGUACUGAGACACGGACCAGACUCCUACGGGAGGCAGCAGUGAGGAAUAUUGGUCAAUGGGCGCAAGCCUGAACCAGCCAUCCCGCGUGAAGGAAGAAUGCGCUACGCGUUGUAAACUUCUUUUCCAGGGGAGAAUAAUCCUGUCGUGACAGGACUUGACGGUACUCUGGGAAUAAGCAUCGGCUAACUCCGUGCCAGCAGCCGCGGUAAAGUGU
rnacentral:rRNA from 1 species